GAAGCUGAGAACAGUCGCUUGCGUGGUAUAACAGAUUGGCGUAGCUGGGAGUGUAAUAUUUCUUGGAAAAACGGAGCCAUUUGUAAUUUGUUAUUUUAGAAUUCAUAUUUAUGAAGGAACGACGACGACAAAUGUAAACGUCUUAAAGUCAAGUUAUGUUGAGUGAAACCAAACUGAACAUACGCUUCGUGGAUAUUAAAAAUCGGAAAAUGGAGAACUGGGGUAAGGUAUUUCCCAACCAAUCAGAGCGUGUGAGUGUUCAACAACCAACCAAGAAGUUAUAUCAUUAUGACGUCAAUAAUGAUACAGACUUGAUGUUUAAUUUUGAUGGAGAGUUUUACGUAGCUGUAAAGCAGAAUGAAAACCUGACCAAAAGCGAUUUGGUCGAAUUUACUUUAAACAUAAAUGGCGAUACAGUCACUUCGAUUGUAUCUAGAAAUAACUGUGUUAUAAAUUGUACGUCAAAUGGUUUCUGUGUUUAUAAUAUUCCUGAUAUAACAACAGAUGAUGUUAAAGAUGGACCAGCGGUAGUUGAUCUAGAGUUUGAUGGGCUCGUCCAUUGUGCUGCUGGUAUCCUGGUAAAAGAUGACGUCAUUGAAACCUCUCUGGAUCUUUCAGGAAUCAAUAUAAAUGACGUUACCGUGAUAACUGAUACCGAUGACUAUACAUGUAGCCAGCUGAUUCCAUGUCAUAAUGAUAAGGGUUCUAAAUAUCAACUGCGUUCAGAUACGUUUGGAAAGUCAGAGAUGAGUUUGGUGAAAUGGACUGAAAUUCAAAAAAAAAGAAAGUCACCAAAUAAUGGCGAGAUUUUAAGAAACAAUCGUACCCGUCCAUUGGAAAACACGAAUUUCCUUCCAGAUAAUGACGUCAUACAAACCAAGAAAGCCAGAACAACAAGUCCACUAACAGAUUUCACACAAUAUUCUGUACCUAAAACUUAUAGUGAGGAGGUUAGGGGUUUCUCUAACCAAUCUGUCUUACCGUAUGGUGUUGUUCACUGAUGUAAACAAGACUGAAUGAAUGAGCCGAAUGGAUUGACUACGCACAAGUAGUUGGGAUAUGUUAUUGAUGUCGAAAAUAUUCGUUCAUUCUGUAAAUAUCCCAUUCGAGUAACUGUUACCAUGCAGUGAUGAUGAAUGUCUGAAUAUCUGUGUAUCUGUGUGUGUCAAAGAGACAAGUACGUGGCUGUGUGUCAUUGUGGAGAUACAAAACUAACAAUUCACAAAAUUAAAUAUGGGUUUGAGCUAGUCAUUGCGAGCUUUAUUUUGCUGUUGGAAUCGUUUUUUUACGAUUUAUGUAUAGUACACGUUUCUAUCUUUAGUACCAGAAAAUAAAUGACGGUACUUAAAGAUGUCUGUCGUAUUUUGAAAUUCAAUGAGUACCUCACACUUAUGAAAAAGAAAAAAUGGAAAGGGCGAGCUUUGAAGUGUAGAUUUUUCAUUAAUAAUAGAACGAUUAUUAUUCUUACUGAGGUUACUCAGAUGUAAGAAAACCAGAAGCGAAAGUGUGGGAAAAAUCACAGCUUUUAUUACUUUGUUCGGGAAAAUCCCUGCUUUUCACAUAUUUUGAGAAAAAAAAAACACCUUUUGUCAUUUUGUACAGAAAAAAAACCCGCUGUUCUAAUUUUUGGGGUAAAUGCCCGCUUUGGAUACUUUUUUGGGACAAAGUUUACAGUGAAAUCCCGGUAUUAAUACCGAUGCUGGGACUGAUAUAAAGUGGUCUUAAUAGUAGCUUGGUCUUAUUAAAGAGGGGGUCUUAAUCCUGAGUUGAAAUCCCAAGGUAGAUAUUUGAUUUUCUGUAAUACAAAACCUAGGUGUUAAUAAUCGUAUUUUAUGACUGGUUUCUACUCCGCGAAAUAUAUUUUAAUAUUUACCUGACAAAUAAAUAACUCGUGUAUAA